rnacentral:rRNA from 1 species
UACGUAGGGGGCAAGCGUUGUCCGGAUUUAUUGGGCGUAAAGAGCGUGUAGGCGGCCAAGCAGGUCCGCUGUGAAAACUCGAGGCUCAACCUCGAGACGUCGGUGGAAACCGUUUGGCUAGAGUCCGGAAGAGGAGAGUGGAAUUCCCGGUGUAGCGGUGAAAUGCGCAGAUAUCGGGAAGAACACCCGUGGCGAAGGCGGCUCUCUGGGACAGUACUGACGCUGAGGAGCGAAAGCGUGGGGAGCGAACAGG